CCCGGAACAACAAAUGAACAUGUAACAGCAGAAAUAUUAAUAUAAAAGAAUCACAAUCUUCUGUUCAGAAUUAGUUAUACACUUUCGUACAGCUUACAAGUAUAUCUUGCGAUAUCCAGCUACUGUGACGUUAUGAACAUGCUUGCUACAUUGUCGCUAUUAGUUAUAUUGUCAUUUAGUAAGCAAGUCUUGGGUGAAUCCGGUAAGUAGCAUCUUAUAAUAUUAACUGCUAUUAUCGCUGUUUUGUGUAUUUUUGCUUUGAUCUCAUCUAUGAUAAUUUUUCAUAUCGUUAUACUCGCUUACGAUAGACAAUUAUCUCUAGAAACUAAGGGCCCACGUGCCGUUAUCAAUGAAAACAUCACCGACGUCAUAGGCAAAAUAGCGAUAAACAGAUUAUCAAUGGUCUUUUAAACUCGAGGAUGUUUCUUGCAUCUCAUCUCUGGGAUGUCGCCCUUCGAAAAGAUUGUACCUGAGAAACACCCCCUCGUUUGAAAAAACAUCGAUUAUCUAUAAUUACGAACCAUUAAAAUGAUUGUAAGAUUACUGACCAGUUUGAUAAUCAAAUGUUGGGCUUUCCACAAAAAAGAUAUCUUUUUCUAAACAUGCGUAAUACGUCUUCCGAUUUUCGAAAUUGCAUGACCAGCAAAUUAGAUGCCAGGCUUCUUAAUGUAGUGCUUUUUUUUUUAAACUAAACACGUACCAAUUUGUAAUUGACAAAUGCCCACGGAAGGAAAAUGUCUAUAGUUAAAUUGUACAUCUGCUGACGCUUGAUUCAUAAUCACAAGACACUAUUGUACAAAGAUGCAACUACGUCGAUAUGUUAUUGAAAAUAUUUAAUGUGUUUGUACAAUUCAAAAAUUGAUGGAGUUCAGAUUUGUAUCAGAGAAAUAGUUUGUACAUGUUUAAUCAAAUUGUCAUUCUUACCCAAGCUUUGCAGUGCAACUAAAACUCGGAGUCUUGUCAAGCUCACUUGUAAUUAAUUACUCUAGUAGGUGAAAUUCGUACAAAGUAAAGAAAAGAAUGGUCCGGAAUAAAAAUCGUACUAAAAAUACAGAUGGUUCCGAUUGAAAGUUUUGUACUACAGUGAGGAAGUUUUAAGUCCGAAAAAACCCAAGACUUUACGAAGUUGAAACAUGUAAAAGCUAAAUGCAAUCAUAGUUGGUAGAAUUCUUUCAUUGAAAUUAGACUGAUUUUUAUAUACUAAUUCAAUAACUGUAAUAUCACAUUGGCAGACCAAACAGACUGAUUCUGAUUUGUAACUUUGGGAUCAUAGAAAUACAGAUUGUCCCUUCUUCAUUUUUAAAGCAUGUAACGUUAAAUAAAGUAAGAGUACGAUACACUUUUGCAGUUUUCAGCGCUCCACUCCAGUUCCUUGAAUGGCCAAAAUUUUGAGCCUACAAAUAAAGCAUGUACAUAGUUUUUAUAGAUAGUGUAUUCGCUAACUUAAUAUUUUAUGCAUACAGAUUUAAAAGAGUGCUUUGACUUCUGCAGUGUGAAACCAGCAGGUAAAUGCUUUUUGUUAUAACGGACAAAAUAUUUUCAUUUAUAGAGUUCUAGAUUCAAUUUUAUAAUAUAUUAUGUUAUAUAUUAUUGUAACUUAGCAUCUAAAUUAAUUAGAUUGAUACAUACAAAAUAUAUUCUACUCUAAUAACAUUCUGUAAUGCUUACAAAAGUAAUAUACACACAGAUACUUUUUGCACGAAAUUGUUUUAACAAUUCAGUAUCAGAAAAAAAACGGUUAAACUUAACUUAAGUUGAAAGUCGUUCUAUUUGCAGCCAAGCAGGAAAGCAUUUUGCAUCAGUAUGUUAAAAACGAUUGUUAAUUAAUCAAAAGACGUUUUUAUUUUCUAUUUUUAUUAAUAUAUAUGCAUAAAUACGUUUAAAAAUUGAUUAUUUAAAUUGUAAAGGUCAUCUUUUGUUUUUGCAGGUCUUGAACGGUCCAAGUGCAUUCGGGAGAAUUGCAGCUGUAAGUUAGUUAUCCAUAUUGCUAACCCUAAAGUAUCCACAUGUUUUAGUAAAUAAGUACUACGAAAAAUGUAUUCGUAUGGUAGAAAAAUAAACAAUGGUGACGCUGUCGAUUUGUAAUAUAUAACGUUAUAUACCGGUUCACUUUUGAAGGAACCGUAUUUGGUUUUAUUAUGUUCUAGAAAUCCCAAAAGCAAAUAAAUUGUUAUACAUACAUUAUGUACAUGUGUGAUUGAAUUGAAUUUAUUUACAAUGCCCGGUUAAGGUAAUCAAAUCCCCUACACGCAUACUCCUGUUUCUGUUUUCUUCCAUGAAUACCACUCGUAGACUAGAAAUGUAACAAAUUUAUUAAAAAAAUAAUACCUUUCAGAAGAAAAAAAAAUGAAUGACUAUGUGAAUUGUAGCACGCGUUUGUCCGCUUACAUCAUUUAUGUCACACAUUCUGAAAUAUCUGGCCCAAUAUGAUAUGAUAUAAUAUCAGUUCUAUUUUGUAGAUAAGUUAUGUGUGGAGUUUUGUAAUACCCUCCCAAAAGGUAACAAUGUUGUUAGAUUUAUUCUCUAAUGCAUAUUUCUGAAAUUUGAUAAUAAUAUAAGUCUACGAUGUAUCAAGUAAUUCAUUAGAACACAAAAAAUGUAAACGAUAACUUAUUACACGACGUCUUAAUUUGGGUAAAUUCUAAGAAUAAAAAUAUUAACAAACCAAAAUUGUUCAACUCAAUUUUUCAGUUUAAGAAGUUAUUGUUUGUUUAUUAUUGUUUACUGACAAACAGCUUAUUUCUUAAAAGCUACAGUUUUCAUCCUAAUUAUGUAAUGCAUAAACCUUAAUCAUUGUCUGUUUUCUUUAUUUAAAAUUGCAGGAAAGGAGUUUGGUCAAUGCAUUACCGGUUGCAGGUAAGAACAUUCGGGAAUACACUGAAAACUGCUUAAGUUCCCUUCCAAACUCUGUGAUAAUAGAUAAAGGCCUAAACAUAAUUAAACCUGAAUUCCUCGUAAUCAGUGAUUGUAAUUUUUAUUUUUAAACUUAUUACAUGUUUGAUGUUAGAAUUUAAGCAAGGUCCAUAAAACAAUAGAUACAUAUAUUUACAUAUGAAAUUGCAAUGAUUAGACGUAUGACAUGAAACUACGUUUCUUUACAGAUGAAGUUCUCAAUUUAGGCAUUCGGACAAGACACAUAACUUACAAGUUUAUUUAAAACAUAUCAUUUCGUAUUUGUGAUAGGCGAUUUGAAAUAUUUUAAAUUAGGGUUAUAUUAGACAUGUUAGAGGAAAGGCCUUUUCUGUUAAAUGGGAUAUGAGGGGGGAUAGGACCUUUAUCGGGACUCCGGGAUCGGGUGUUUUUUAAGCUCGGGAUUUCGGGAUUGACCCUUUCGGGAUCCGGGAAUUCUUUUUUUCGGAUUUCGGGACGUCGGGAUUUACUUUAUUUAAAUUCGGGACCUCGGGAUUUCGUUUUUUUAAGUUCGGGAUUUCGGGAUCAGGACCCCUCCUAUCCCCCUCGUCAAAUGUAAAACGUGCUACAUCUACCAUUAGAAAUACAAUAGUUACAAGCCUAAUAAGUCAGUUUUUAAAGUUUUUAAAAUGAAAGGCCUUUCCAUACAACUUUGAUAUAUAAAAUAAAAUAAAAAUGAAAAUUUAGCUUUAUACCUUCAAUGGACCUUAAAUGAGAUGAGGCUAAUAAGGGCUCUAGUCAUUCCUGGUCUUUAAAAAAAAACCAAAAAAAAAACAUGCUAUCUUCAUUACGUAGGUUUGCAGUGUUGCUUAUCGGAAUUUCUUACAAUAUUAUAUAACCGUUACGUGGUAUCAUUCCGCUGUUAGUGCAGUGUUAAGGGGGUAGACCUUGGUUAAGGGAGAUAGCUCUUAAAUCAGUUAAGAGUUUGUAAAAGUCAAGUUUCAUCAUUGUAUUUUAAGCAUUUACAUGAAACAGAUUGGAAAUAAUCCAUGUAACCUUGAAGCUUAGAAUAUAUUUAUGAAAAUGGUUGACACAAACUUACUGAUGAUUUUAGAGUUAUUUCCCUUAACCUAGGUCUACCUCCUUAAAUGUCUAUAAUAAAGUCGUCUCAGCUUCAUAUCAUCAAUCUCAAUUAUUAAAUAGUUUGAACACUUAUAUUCUUCAAUUGUCUAUUGAUUAUGUGUAAAAGAUGAAAUACCUCUCAAUUAGAUUUUGUUAUAUAUUAUUCAUAUAUAUUGUAACGUUUUUCCCAGGUAUGUAUAAGUUCAACCUGUUAUGAAUUAGAUAUCAUGUAAAUCAAUUUGGCAAGGUCAUUCAAUGUUGUUAAAAUAUUGUGUUCAUGUUUUAUUGAAGCUAUUCAAUAUAUAAAAAAUAUUCUUCUAAUAAAUAUUUCUUUUCUAUUUUAAUUUAGACCCUGAAAAUAAAGAGAAAAGCUGUGAAAUAUUAAAAUGAAAUAAAAUAGGCAUACCUACAACAU
rnacentral:lncRNA from 1 species